rnacentral:snRNA from 1 species
GCUUGCUUCGACAGGACAUAUACCAAAACUGGAACAAUACAGAGAAGAUUAGCAUAGCCCCUGCGCAAGGACGACACGCAAGGACGACACACAAUUUCGU